AGUGAACGCUGGCGGUAGGCCUAACACAUGCAAGUCGAACGGCAGCACAGUAAUAGCUUGCUCUUACGGUUGGCGAGUGGCGGACAGGUGAGGAAUACAUCGGCAUCUACUUUUUCGUGGGGGAUAACGUCGGGAAACUUACGCUAAUACCGCAUACGACCUACGUGUGAAAGCAGAAGAUCUUCGGACCUUGCGCGAUUUAAUGAGCUGAUGUCGGAUUAGCUAGUUGGCGGGGUAAAGGCCCACCAAGGGGACGAUCCGUAGCUGGUCUGAGAGGAUGAAGAGGGACAGUGGAACUGAGACACGGCCCAGAGUCUGACGGGAGGCAGAGGUUGGGAAUAUUGGACGAUGGGCGCAAGCCUGAUCCAGGCAUACCGGGUGGGUGAAGAAGGCCCUCGGGUUGUAAAGCCCUUUUGGGGGGAAAGAAAAGCAGCAGGUUAAUCCCCCGCUGUUCUGACGGUACCCAAAGAAUAAGCACCGGCUAACUUCGUG
rnacentral:rRNA from 1 species